rnacentral:rRNA from 1 species
CGGUCCUGAGUAAAGUGGCGCACGGGUGAGUAACGCGUAGAUAACCUGUCUUCAUGUCUGGAAUAAUACGCCGAAAGGGGUACUAAUACCGGAUAUUCUUGCUUUUCAUAAGUUAUGCAAGCAAAGGUGGCCUCUGCAUAUGCUACUGCAUGAAGAGGGGUCUGCGUACCAUUAGCUAGUAGGUGGGGUAAUGGCCUACCUAGGCGACGAUGGUUAGCGGGUCUGAGAGGAUGAUCCGCCACACUGGCAUUGGAACACGGGCCAGACUCCUACGGGAGGCAGCAGUGAGGAAUAUUGCGCAAUGGGGGAAACCCUGACGCAGCGACGCCGCGUGAGUGAAGGAAGGCCUUCGGGUCGUAAAGCUCUGUCAAGAGGAAAGAAGUGUACAAUGGCUAAUACCUGUUGUAUUUGACGGUACCUCUAAAGGAAGCACCGGCUAACUCCGUGCCAGCAGCGGC